rnacentral:lncRNA from 1 species
UUCGAGCAAUUAAUUGGCAAAAAUUUGAGAAAAUGCAAAACUUGUCAAAUUCAUUUUCUGCUGCCAAGGUAUGAUCAUUUGGGUAUGUAAGCUUAAGUUGAACCGUAGAAGCCUAUAUGAUCAUCCUAAAUGGCAGGCAUCCAAAGUUUUCGAAGUUUUGGCUAUGUUUGAUAGUAAAGUAUUAAAAAAUCAAAGUAUUCAAAAACUACAGUAUUUUAGCAUGUAGAUAUAAGAUACCCCAGUUUUCAGAUAUCACAAUAUUUUAGAGUAUUGAGAAUACUUUGAGCUGUUUGGCUAAUGUUUGUAUAUAUCGACGUAAGUUAGCUAGCUAGUUGCUUUCUCCUUAGCUACCCGGCUUUUGCAAAUUCAACGGCCAUGCACAUAGGACACCCACACACACAAACUUUGAACGGGCACACAUUGUACCCACCAGGCUACGCAGAGUAGCAGCCCACCUUAGACUGACGCACGACUGCUAACUAUAUAGCAGUAGCGCGGUUCGCGGACCUGCACUACUGCUGUUCUACCCUUAUCCUCUUACCCGCCCGCGCGUUGCUCACUCUCCCAUCCACCGUCUCUCUAGCUCAUCGCCCGUGGCUCCCGUAUCGUCGUCGUCGUUGACGCACCGCCGUCCUCUCUCCUCCAUUGCCGUAAGCCUCCUCACCCCUCGCCUUGCCCUCCUCUCUCCUUGAUCCUCG